AUAAAUUGGACGCAAAGUUCUAUCCAUCUUUCCAUUCAUACAAAAAUAGCCAUUCAGAUCAUACAUACAAAAGUAGAACACAUCAUUAUCUGUUUACACCAAACUCAACGCCUAAAAAUCAGUACAAAAAACAAAAUAGUUUGGGCAUAUUUGCAGUCAUCCAAGUCCAAUUCAGUCACCAAAAAAUGCUAGUUUACAUCACAUCACCUAACUAUGAAUUGCACACAUAUACAAUUUAGGAAGAUGGAUUUGUUCUUGUUCUCUUGGCCCUUAUUUUAUGCAGCACAUCAGCAACUGCUGGAGGUCUAACUCUUCCACCAACAACAUUCUUAACAGGUCCUUUAGUCACGAUAGACUGUUAAAUGGAAGUAUGUUAGUAACAGAACAUAUGUUUCAAGUACUAUGUACUAAGAUUCAUGAAUAAUGCCUGAGAAGAAGCAAUUUUUCUAGUGAUAACCCUGUUGACAUUCUUAACAGGUCCUCCAGUCACAGUAGACUGUUAAAUGGAAGUAUAUUAGCAACAAGACAUAUGUUUCAAGCACUAUGUACUAAGAUUCAUGAAUAAUACCUGAGAAGAAACAAAUUUUCUAGUGAUAACCCUGUUGACACUAGACAUUGUUGGUUGAGUAUAUGUUUUUCUCUUUGGAACUUUUGAUUUAGAUGGAUUAGGAUUAUCAAUCAGCUUUUCUUGAGGGGCUAGUUCUGAAGUGCCACCAGCAGAGUGGUUAGCUCCUUGUGGCUCUGAAGUUUUACCAGCAGACCCUUGAUUUGCCUAUGACAUCAAAACAAAAAAGUUAUGAACUGUUAGUAAUAAAGAAGAGCCUAUGCCAUGCAUAAGAAGAUUGUACCUUGCAAAAUUUGAAAUUUGGAUGAAUUGAAUUCUUUUAACUUCUUGAAUUGUGUCCAGGUUUGAAACAUUUUUUGCAGUGCACAGUAAGUCCUUUUCUGGUUGAUAAUUGUCCAUUCUUUAGUUUAUCAAGUGCUCUCCUCCGUACCUUCUUUGGCCUUCCAGGCAUCUUUCUUAUCAAUGGAGGAUUAACUGGCCCUUCAUUGGCCUUUCCCAAUACCUUGCACUUGGUAUAUACAUAAUUACAUGCCUAUAUGUCUUUCCAUAAGUCUCUUUGCUGUAGAAUUUGUGGACAAAACCAACAAUUGGCUUUUUACAUGCUUGUAUUGCUGCAUAUGCAUGGACACAUGGAUAAUCUGUUAAUUGAAAUAACCCACAUGUACAGGUCCAAUCCUGUAGGUCUACCACUACAAUUUUGUUAAUACCAGCAUCAACUUCAUAUUUCCAGCCAUCUGCCUAUAUAGCAACACAUGUCCUAUUCAAUCUUACAUUUUUCUCAAUCUUCUCAUGGAUGUUUGGACAUAUUUUACCUUGAAAUUUUUCCAUCUCAGUCCUCUUUACCUGGAAUCAUUGCAUUAGUCUUCUUCUAAUCCAUUCAAACAUCCCAACCACAGCCAACUCUCUUGCGGGAAGAAUGUAAUUGUUAAAUGACUUAUUUAAAUUGUUAACCAAUAUGUCACACUUACUUCUUCCACUGAAGUGUGAUCUGGUCCACAGAGUUGGUGGAAAUUUUGAAAGCCAUAUUAAUACUUGUGAGUCAACUUUUUUCAUGUCUUUCAUUGCCACAUGCCAGUCUGCCUCAUUUCCAGUACUUGCACAUGCCCAAAACAAGUCCUUCAGCUCUUUUCGUUUGAAUUUUUGGCUAAAGUUUUGAUACAUGUUUUAUGCAGAACCUAUGCUCAAAGUCAGGAAAAAGCUCUUUAAGAGCUUGAACAAGUCCUUUUUGUCGAUCUGAAAUGAAGGUCCAAAAUAUGUUGCCCAUCCCCAAUCCUAAAUCAUCCAAUAAAAGCUGUAGGAACCACCUCCAUGAGUCAUACCUUUCAACUUCAACAACAGCCAGUACUAUUGGAACCAUAUUAUCUUUACCAUCUCUCCCUAAAGCAGAUAAUAAUUGGCCUCCAAAUGCAUUCUUUAAAAAACACCCAUCUAGACCAAUAAUUGGUCUACAUCCAUCAAGAAAUCCUUGCUUGCAAGCAUGAAGACAGAAGUAUAUUCUUUCAAAUAUAACUCUAGACGCUGCAUCAGGUUUGUCAACUUGAAUCUUUACUGUGCUAACAGGAUUAUACUUCAGGAUCGUGGCUGCAUAAUGCCACAGAUUAUGAUACUGCUCCAUAUCUAAUCCCUGUAUAUCUUCUCUUUCCUUCCACUUCACUUUAUACAGCUUAGAUGAAGUGACACUGACCAUCGAAUCCCUUUUAACCUCAUUCUGAAAACCAAUUAAGUUACACUUAGGAUCAUCCCUAAUCUUAAAUUGAUAUCUUUGGCUAAGGUACCUUGAUGUAAUAUGUUUGUUGUUGUACUCUCUACCGCAAAAAUGCUCACCCUUCAAAGUUUUGAUCUGGAAGGUACUAGUCCCUUGAACUUUUGAUGCAUGGAUCCUCUAUGAACAACCCCUCUCACACUCAGCUCUAAUUCGGUAGAAGUCAUUUCUGAUCCACUUUGUUUCAUAUCCAUCUCUUAUAUUCCAUUCCAACAAAGCCACCCUGAAUAAUCUAAAAUUUUUGAACUUCUGGCCCAUUUUUAGUUCAAAAUGAGGCUUGUUAAACUCAACUUUUGGAUCGAAAUCUAGAUAUUCUUCAAGUUUCUCACCAUUAGAACCAGUCCUCUCCAGUAGCUCCUCAUCGGGAAUUACAGGUUCAUUCCAAUUGGUUUCUAAUCUAACUUCACUGUUCAGUCCAUCAAAGUCUUCUUUAGGCUGUUGUUGCACAUGAUUUCCACUGUCCUGCAAGCGUGAACAUGUAGAGUAGUAUUUUGCUAGUGUUUCCCUCUCCUCAAUAGUAGGCUGGUCUCUUGCAACCAAUUUCUUUGGACUGUUCAGAUCACCCUUCAGAGCAAACACAUGCAACUUUGACAUAGCAGCCUCUUUCUUAGAUGGGUUCACAGCAAAAAUGUCUUCAUCCUCUAUGCUCUCAAGCCCCUUAUCUAACCAAUUAGGCUCAACAUUUUUUGAUUUACCUGCUUUGUCCACAGCACUUUCUGCUUUAUCUGUAGUUUCUUCACAUGUGUGGUUAGCAUUUGCAACCUAUUUUUGCAACAUGCUGAUCCCAUCACAAUGUUCGGGAGGCUCUUCAAAUGCCUGGUCCCUACUUACAUUAUAUAUCACCCUUACAGGAAGAUGCAAAUGCGCAUCAUUCAUCAACUUAAUGUCAUCAUUCCCUGUAAUUAGUAGCAAUCCAGUUUCCCAUGUCCAAAUCCAGUACACACCACCAAAAAGUGACCCUGGUUACAUCCUUCUCAAUUAGUUUGAACAUUCUACACAGUCCAACUAUGGACAACUCAUUUGGAUCUUUAUCCUUCCAUAUGGCUAGCUUGUAGUUUCCUACAUAGGCUGUGUUGGGCUCACUUCUAAAAAUUCCUCCAAAGUACAAGUGUAUCUCAACCAUUUCUUUUUCUUUUUCUUGUGUGUUGUCUUCUGUUAACCAGACAAGUGCAAAAUUUUUUUUAUUAUUAUACAUAUAUAUAAAGUAAGUGGUCUGUACUUUAUGUAAAAAAAACAGACAUGAUAACGACGUAGGUUCACAACUACUACUCACAAGAAUCUUGCCCCAUCUAGACUGUUGAAUUGCCAACAAUAACAACAAUCUAACCACAAUAAUAAUAGUGAUAUAAACCAUUAUAAAAUUGAAAUUUUCGUAAAGCUCAAAUCUUUCCAACAGCUAGAAUUUAUCAACCUUUUUCUAACAGAUUGGCUUUAUUAUAAAAAUCAUAUACAUCUAGAUCUAGAAAUACGGAUUCAGGUGUUUAUUCACACUUUUAUCCAAAUUAUUCGAACAAACUAAGAUAUAUAAGAAAUUGGAAACAUCAAUCGUAACAAUCACAGUACAUACAAAUCAAGGUAUUUAUUCACAUUAUUAUCCAGAUUAUUUCCUAAACUAAGAGAUCGCAAAAAUAGGAAGGAUUCGAAGCUUAGAAGCUUACCUAUCCUACUACGGGUCUUCUCCUGAGUUUUCGAUAUGAUGCAGUUGAAGUCAAAUGCUUGCAAUUGACGUCCUAUUCUGCUAGAAAUCUUCACUAAUUGUUAAGAACUUUUCCAAUCUAGCAGAUUGUGUCUUCCUAGGGUUUCUAAAGCUUCGUUCCUCUCUUUCUCUCUCUCUCUCUCCGCCUCUUUUCUUUGAAUUCUCAAAAGCAUGAAACAUUGUUGUGGAUAUCACUAGGAGUUAAGUGUUGUGGAGCUACUAAGGAGAGACCCUUAUUCACCACAAAAUAAUUU
rnacentral:lncRNA from 1 species